GUCUUGAUAGCUCAGUGGCAAGAGCGCCCUCGUCCCGUGGGAGACCCUGGUUCGAAUCCCGGUCAAGACC
rnacentral:tRNA from 1 species